rnacentral:rRNA from 1 species
AGUGAACGCUGGCGGUAGGCCUAACACAUGCAAGUCGAACGGCAGCACAGGAGAGCUUGCUCUCUGGGUGGCGAGUGGCGGACGGGUGAGGAAUACAUCGGAAUCUACUUUCUCGUGGGGGAUAACGUAGGGAAACUUACGCUAAUACCGCAUACGACCUACGGGUGAAAGCAGGGGAUCUUCGGACCUUGCGCGAUUGAAUGAGCCGAUGUCGGAUUAGCUAGUUGGCGGGGUAAAGGCCCACCAAGGCGACGAUCCGUAGCUGGUCUGAGAGGAUGAUCAGCCACACUGGAACUGAGACACGGUCCAGACUCCUACGGGAGGCAGCAGUGGGGAAUAUUGGACAAUGGGCGCAAGCCUGAUCCAGCCAUACCGCGUGGGUGAAGAAGGCCUUCGGGUUGUAAGGCCCUUUUGUUGGGAAAGAAAUCCAGCUGGCUAAUACCCGGUUGGGAUGACGGUACCCAAAGAAUAAGCACCGGCUAACUUCGUGCCAGCAGCCGCAGUAACAC